rnacentral:lncRNA from 1 species
AUACUUGGAUAGGAGAUGGGGGUUCCUGAAAGGAGGUGGGGUUAUUGGGCAGAACCCUUGACUUGUUUUGCAGAUUACUCAAAGAGAUGGUACUAGCUGGAGCCAACUACGGAAUUGCAACAGGAUCAAUCUGACCCUUGUGGAUCUUCUCUUUCUUUCUGUUAUCCACUGAGGAGUACUCCUGCUUAGGCCGAAUUCACAUUUCAUGUCAGAAGAACAGUACCUUGUUCAGUAAAUGGUUUGUCGUCAGAAGAUGGGAGUCCAAACAGGAUAUUUUUCACGCGAGGCCUAACUGGAGCCCUGUUCUUCUCAGGCUUGUGAUAUCGACAUGUAAUCCUGAAUGUCUGCUGUCGCCUCUGCUCCUACGUCCCUAAAAGGCUAAGGUAUGAAAACACCCCAAACCUAUUUCUAGACUGAGCUGUGGAAGAAAGAUCUUUGGGUAGAUUUUCUGUGCCUUUCUCCCACCUCUGGACGUUCCAUUUUCCAUCAGGAGGAAGCAUCUCAAUGUUUUGCUGCUGUUGUUGUUGCCGCUGCUGCUCUG